GACAGAGGGUGCAAACGUUGCUCGGAAUUACUGGGCGUAAAGCGAGUGUAGGCGGCCUUGUAAGCCGGAUGUGAAAGCCCUGGGCUCAACCCAGGAAGUGCAUUCGAUACUGCGAGGCUUGAGUAUCGGAGAGGUUGGUGGAAUUCUAGGUGUAGAGGUGAAAUUCGUAGAUAUCGAGAGGAACACCGGUGGCGAAGGCGGCCAACUGGACGAAUACUGACGCUUAGACUAGAAAGCGUGGGGAGCAAACAGG
rnacentral:rRNA from 1 species